rnacentral:lncRNA from 1 species
CCAGGAUUAGUAUUUGGGUUUCUCAGGUGAUGAACGAGGUCAUAAAGGUCCCAAGAGUUGGUCUUUUGUGAUUGACUAUUGGGGUGGGUGGAAAAAUACCAUCACAUGGGAACAGGGUUAGGCAGGUCUGAACUCAGACUCUCCUUGGAUGCAGCUUGCCACAGCCACUGUUGGGGCUUGCAGCUGCCUUCCCCGAGGGUCACUUUGAGAUAUAAUCAGGAAUGGCUUCCCUGGGCUCCAGCUGGAGAAAUGGAGUUCUUACAAGGCUCUUCCCACUGCUGCUUCUAAUUUUACAUUUCACAGUAAAUCUGUUUCAGCUCCAGAUCAAAUCACAUUUACAUUAGAGUUCUGAAGCAGCAUGUGAUUUCAAUAUUUCCCGUCUAUGUUUCUGUUAUUCAUUUUUAAAUAAAAUUAAGUAUGGUGUGG